rnacentral:rRNA from 1 species
GACGAACGCUGGCGGCGUGCUUAACACAUGCAAGUCGAACGAAGUGGCGAACGGGUGAGUAACGCGUAAUCCACCUGCCCUUCAUAGGGGGACAACAGUUGGAAACGACUGCUAAUACCGCAUACUGAAGGAGGGGAUUGCGGCUGAUUAGCUGGUUGGAGGGGUAACGGCCCACCAAGGCGAUGAUCAGUAGCCGGGCUGAGAGGAUGAACGGGCAAAUGGGGACUGAGAGACGGACCAGACUCCUACAGGAGGCAGCAGGGGGGAAGCUGCCGAAAUGGACGAAAGGCUGAAGGAGCAAUGCCGCGUGAGUGAGUACGGCCUUCGGGUUGUAAAGCUCUGUUAAUCGGGACGCGGUACCGGAAUAGAAAGCCACGGCUAACUACGUGCCAGCAGCCGCGGUAAUAC